UAGGGAGGAUACCUGGUGUGUUGUAUUUUAAAAAUCAAUCAUCGGCUAUCUUUCCUAGAA
rnacentral:pre_miRNA from 1 species